rnacentral:rRNA from 1 species
CGAAAGCCUGACGGAGCAAGACCGCGUGGGGGAGGAAUGCCUUAGGGUUGUAAACCCCUUUUAUCUGGGAAGAACAAAAUGACGGUACCAGAUGAAUAAGCCUCGGCUAACUCCGUGCCAGCAGCCGCGGUAAUACGGAGGAGGCAAGCGUUAUCCGGAAUUAUUGGGCGUAAAGAGUCCGUAGGUGGUUCAUCAAGUCUGCUGUUAAAGCGUGCAGCUCAACUGCAUAUAGGCAGUGGAAACUGAAGGACUAGAGUGCGGUAGGGGCAGAGGGAAUUCCCGGUGUAGCGGUGAAAUGCGUAGAUUUCGGGAAGAACAUCGGUGGCGAAAGCGCUCUGCUGGGCCGCAACUGACACUCAGGGACGAAAGCUAGGGGAGCG